rnacentral:tRNA from 1 species
GGAGAGGUGCUCGAGUGGUUGAAGAGGCACGCCUGGAAAGCGUGUAUACCCCAAAAGGGUAUCCGGGUUCGAAUCCCCGUCUCUCCGCAA